AGCGGGGUGGCGGUGCCCACCUGCCCACCCUCAGCAUCUUCCUUGUCUUGUCUUUGCUUUUCUUUCCUCACUUCCCCUCCCUGCCCCAGGAUGUGGGGAGGAGAGGAAGUAGCAGGGGGCACCUGUUUUCUGCACAGUGGACGCCCAAUAAAUGCUAUUGACUGAAUGAUGUGCAGAUCUGAAGCCAAAACCGAAAUCCCCAGCUGCUUUAACAGAAGGCCAACGCAGCUCUGUUCCCCAUACGCCCUGCCUGGCAAAAGACUUAGAUCACACCACUUAGCUGUCAUUUUCAGUCUUCCAACCAGAACUGAUCUGGCAUGAAGGAGAGAGAAGAGGUGUAUGAGUGAAAUUCAUCUGACAAGAAAAAGAAAGCAAGAGCGCCACUGGGUUAGGGUCUCCCCGACCGAGCUGGUCUCAGCAAGUGGCGUCCAUCGUGGGGGCUCGAAUCCAGGUCAAAGGAUCGCUGGAGCGACGGUUGGAAUGGAAAACUAGCUGGAGGACACCCGAGUACUCUAAAAGCAAUCCCCGUGGUGAGUAAGAAGGGGAGCUCAGAAGCGUCAGGGUAACAAUGGGACAGGUAUGGUGUCUGGUUCGUUUCACCUUGGAACUUUAUCACACUGAUAAUGAGGAGGAACAAGAGUAUAGCGAAGUAACAGAAGAGGUUACAGAGCGUGUUUAUUUACCAGCUAAAGCUAAAGCAGCAAAGGAAGGAAAGGUUCAUCCCUACCCUUCUGCACCCCCUCCUUAUUAUUUUGAAGAAAAAGACCCUCCAGAUCUUUCUUUUCUGGAGGCCACUGGGCAAAAAGUAGUUGCCCCAGUGACUGUUCGAGCAGCGCCUCCUGUGAGGGCUCUUAGUUCUAUUCAGGCAGGAAUUCAGCAAGCUAGAUGAGAGGGUGAUUUAGAGGCUUGGCAGUUUCCUGUUAGAAUACACCCCCCAGAUCAACAGGGAAAUAUUAUAGCUACGUUUGAGCCUUUUCCUUUUAAAUUCAGGAAAGCACAUUUAGUUGAUUAUAUCAAGGCCUGUGAUGGUAUCGGAGGUAAUCUGCAUAAAGCUACUUCGUUGGCACAGGCAAUGGCAGGACUGAGAGUGGAUAAAGGAAAUACUCCAUUUCCUGGAGCUUGUUUCAACUGUGGGAAGCAUGGUCAUACUAAAAAAGAAUGUAGAAAAAAUCAGCGAGUCAGGCCGCCAGAUAGGGAAAAAAAGAAAACUGUUGAGCCUGAAAUAUGUCCAAAAUGUAAAAAAGGAAAACAUUGGGCUAGUCAGUGUUACUCUAAGUUUGAUAAAGAAGGCAACCCGAUUUUGGGAAACACCAUGAGGGGCCCGUCCCAGGCCCUGUUCUAAACCGGGGCAUUUCCAGCUCAGGCCAUUCCCUCACCCCUGUACAAUGUCUGUUCCCUGCCACAGCUGGUAGUGCUGCAGUAGAUUUAUGCUGCACAAAAGCUGUGAGGCUUCUGCCUGGGGAACCCCUGCAAAAGGUCCCAACAGGAGUCUGUGGACCCUUGCCAGCAGGGACAAUAGGAUUACUUUUAGGAAGGUCUAGUGUAAGUUUAAAAGGGGUACAAAUACAUACAGGAGUCAUUGAUUCAGAUUACAAUGGGGAAAUUCAAAUUGUUGUAUCUACGUCUGUUCCCUGGAAAGCAGAGCCAGGAGAGCGCAUAGCACAGCUCCCGAUUGUGCGGUAUGUGGGAAUGGGAAAAAGUGAAAUUAAACCAACAGGAGGAUUUGGAAGCACAAAUAAACAAGGCAAAGCAGCUUAUUGGGUAAAUCAAAUUACUGAUAAACGUCCUACCUGUGAAAUAACUAUUCAAGGAAAGAAAUUUAAAGGUUUGGUAGAUACAGAAGCAGACAUUUCAAUCAUUUCUCUACAGCACUGGCCAUCCCAUGGCCAAUUCAACCUGCUCAGUUUAACAUAGUUGGAGUUGGUAAAGCCGCUGAAGUAUAUCAAAGUAGUUAUAUUUUGCAUUGUGAGGGGCCCAGUUAACAACCUGGGACUAUUCAACCAAUUAUAACUUCUGUGCCUAUAAAUUUAUGGGGAAGAGAUUUAUUACAACAAUGGGGAGUAUGAUUUCUAAUUCCAGAACAAUUAUAUAGCCCUCAAAGUCAACAUACAAUGCAUGAAAUGGGGUAUGUCCCUGGUAUGGGACUAGAAAAAAAUUUGCAAGGUUUGAAGGAACCGCUUCAAGGAGAAAAACAAAGUUCCUGCCAAAGAUUAGGAAAUAAUUUUUGAUGGCAGCCAUUGUUAAGGCUCCAGAACCUAUACCUUUAAAAUGGUUAACAGAUAGGCCAAUUUGGAUAGAACAAUGGCAGCUAAGUAAAGAGAAACUGGAGGCUUUAGAGAAAUUAGUUACUGAACAAUUAGAAAAUGGGCACAUAGCUCCAACAUUUUCCCCUUGGAAUUCUCCAGUUUUCGUAAUUAAGAAAAAAUAGGUAAAUAGAGACUGUUAACUGACUUAAGAGCCAUCAAUUCAGCUAUACAACCUAUGGGAGCAUUAGGGCCAGGAUUGCCUUCUCCUGCUAUAAUUUCAAAAAGUUUACUUUUAAUAGUCAUAGAUUUAAAAGACUGUUUCUUUACUAUCCCUUUAGCUGAGCAAGACUGAAUGGUUUGCAUUUACAAUUCCUGCAGUAAACAACCUGCAGCCUGCUAAGCAUUAUCAUUGGAAAGUGUUGCCACAGGGCAUGUCAAACAGCCCAACAAUUUGCCAGACUUAUGUGGGGCAAGCAAUUGAACCACUCGUAAAAAAUUUUCACAGUGUUACAUUAUUCACUAUAUGGAUGAUAUACUUUGUGCUGCCCCCACUCGAGAAAUAUUACUCCAAUGUUAUGAUCACUUGGAAAAUUUGAUAUCUUGCGCUGGUUUAAUUAUAGCUCCUGACAAAAUUCAGACAACUACUCCUUACUCCUACUUGGGGACCUUAGUAAAUGACACUACCACUGUGCCACAGAAAGUAACCAUACAUAGGGAGCAACUAAAAACAUUAAAUGACUUUCAAAAAUUACUAGGGGAUAUUAAUUGGAUACAACCUGCUCUAGGCAUUCCUACCUAUGUCAUGAGCAAUCUGUUUUCUAUCCUUAGAGGAAAUCCUAGUCUCACUAACCGUCGGCCAUUAACAAAGGAGGCUGAGGCAGUUACAACUGAUUGAGAAGCAAGUCCAUAAAGCUCAGAUAAAUAGAAUAGAUCCAGAGAAGACUCUAGAUUUGCUAAUUUUUUUCAACUCAGCAUUCACCUACUGGUGUUAUUAUCCAAGAACAGGACUUAGUAGAGUGGCUUUUUCUUCCACAUACUAAUUCGCGGACUCCAACUCCUUAUUUAGAUUAAAUCGCUACUAUGAUAGGGAUUGGGAGAACUCGGAUUGUUAAAUUACAUGGAUAUGAUCCUGGAAAAAUUGUUGUCCCUUUCACGAAGGCACAAAUAUAGCAAGCUUUUAUAAAUAGUCUUACUUGGCAAACCCAUUUAGUUGACUUUGUGGAUAUUCUCGACAAUCAUUUUCUUAAAAUGAAGCUGUUUCAGUUUUUGAAAUUAACUAAUUGGAUUCUCCCUAAAAUAGCUAAAUUUAAACCAAUUGAAGGUGUUGAGAAUGUUUUUACAGAUGGGUCUAGUAAUGGUAAAGCUUAUUCUGGCUCAAAAAGUAAAGUUUUCCAGACGUCCUAUAUGUCAGCUCAAAAAGUGGAGCUUGUAGCUAUAAUUGAGGUAUUGACUGCUUUUGAUGUGCCUAUUAAUGUGAUUUCUGAUUCUUCAUACGUGGUUCACUACACACAGUUAAUUGAAAAUUCUCAGUUAUGAUUUCAUACAGAUGAACAACUGAUGACUUUAUUUACCCAACUGCAAACAGCAGUUAGGAGUAGAAUGCACCCUUUUUACAUCACUCACAUUAGGGCUCAUACAACUCUUCCAGGACCUUUGACUGAAGGGAAUCAAAUGGCUGAUCACCUAGUUGCUAAUGCAAUAUCUAAUGCUAGACUCUUUCACAAUUUAACCCAUGUUAAUGCCUCUGGUCUCAAACGCAGAUACAGCAUUACCUGGAAAGAAGCUAAAGCUAUUAUCCAGCAAUGCCCAACUUGCCAAAUGGUACAUUCCUCAUCUUUUACAGGAGGAGUUAAUCCUCGAGGACUGGAACCUAACUCUCUUUGGCAAAUGGAUGUCACACAUGUUCCCUCAUUUGGGAGACUGGCUAAUGUACAUGUAUGUGUGGACACCUUUUCUCACUUUGUCUGGGCUACAUGCCAAUCAGGAGAGUCUUCUGCCUGUGUUAAACGUCAUCUUUUACAGUGUUUUGCAGUGAUGGGCAUUCCAGCUUCUAUUAAAACAGAUAAUGCCCCAGGCUAUACUAGCCAAGCUCUAGCUACUUUUCUCUGUGUGGAAUAUUAAACACAUUACUGGUAUCCCAUACAAUUCUCAAGGACAAGCCAUAGUGGAAAGAAUGAAUCUCUCCCUAAAACAGCAGUUGCAAAAGCAGAAAGGGAGAGACAGAGAAUAUGGAACCCCACAGAUGCAACUGAACCUAGCAUUAUUAACUUUAAAUUUUUUGAGCCUGCCCAAAGGCCAGAUGUUUUCAGCAGCUGAACAGCAUCUACAGAAACCAGCUGCAAAGACAAAAACAGGACAACUGAUUUGGUGGAGAGAUCUGAUAACAGAAAGUUGGGAAUUAGGUAAAAUAAUAACUUGGGGUAGAGGUUAUGCUUGUAUUUCUCCAGGCCAAAAUCAACAGCUGAUUUGGAAACCAUCAAGACACCUGAAACCUUAUCAUGAGCCAGAUGUCGAGGAAGAGACUCCAGGAGGAUCCCAAGGACCCCCCAGUUGCAGCCAUGUCGAGACUGACGCUGAGGAGGACCCCAACUGUCACAAGAAACACCCGUCGAACAUAGCCACCCACCUGUGGACAGAUCAAGAAGCUGUCACAGAUGGCGGAAGAAAACCUGAGGAGAGCCAGACAAACAGUCACAUGAAUAAUUUAAUCGUAGCCAUGAUAGCGGUUAUCACCACUGCCAUGAGUAUUCCUUCAAUAAGGACUGGUAAUAAUGCCUGGAUGCAAUCACUCUAUGACACAGUUACACAUGCUUUCUGAUCUCAGUAUUUACCAUAAUAAAUCUGCUCCUAUAAUUGAGGCAUACCACCCUCAAAAGCCUAUUUGUAAACAGGAUUGGACCCAAUUAGAAAAAAUGAAUGUACUUGUUUAGGAAGAUUGCUUUGCAGAACAGGCAGAGGUGCUGCACAAUGAUUCCUAAGGAAUGAUUAUUAAUUGGUCCCCUAAGGGGAUGUUUAGCUUGAUUUGCACCUCUCAGUCUGCAUGCCAUGGUCACACUAUGUUCAGAUGAUCUGAACAAAAUGGUCAGAUGGUAGAAAUGAUAAGAAGUAUGGCAAAAGUUCCUGUUAUCUGGAACCAUGAUGGUAUAGUGGCAUCUCAACAUCAAAUGAUAUGGCCCACUCUAGGAGCUAAACAUAAGGAUCUGUGGAAACUAUUAAAUGCAAACUUUGGGAAAGAAUAAAAAAGCACCUAGAAGGACACUACAAACUUGUUUUUGGAUACAGCAAAAUUAAAGAACAAACGUUUAAAGCAUCCCAGGGACACCUGACCUUAAUGCCAGGAACUGGAGUGCUUAAAGGAGCUACAGACAAAUGAGCAGCUAGUAACCCAUUAAAAUGGAUAAAAACACUUGGAAGCUCUGUGAUUUCAAUGAUGACUGUGCUUUUAAUAUAUGUUGUUUGUAUAGUCUGCAGAUGCAGAUCCCGACUCCUGCGAGUAGCUCACCGUGACAAAGCUGCCCUUGCUUUUAUCGAUUUGCACAUCAGAGAAGGGGGACAUGUUGGGAGCAAGCCCCCCAAAAUCUGGCCAUAAACUGGCCCCAAGCCUGGCCAUAAACAAAAUCUCUGCAGCACUGUAACACGUUCAUAAUGGCCCUAACACCCAUGCGCAAAGUUGUGGGUUUAUGGGAAUGAGAGCAAGGAACACCUGGCCCGCCCAGGGCAGAAAACUGCUUAAAGGCAUUCUUAAGCCACAAACAAUAGUUCCAGUGAUUUGUGCCUUAAGGGCAUGUUCCUGCUGCAGUUAACUAGCCCAACCUAUUCCUUUAAUUUGGCCCAUCCCUUCGUUUUCCAUAAGGGAUACUUUUAGUUAAUUUAAUAUCUAUAGAAACAAUGCUAAUGACUGGUUUGCUGUUAAUAAACACGUGGGUAAAUCUCUGUUUGGGGCUUACAGCUCUGAAGGCUGUGAGACCCCUGAUUUCCCACUUCACACCUCU